CGUAACAAAGGGAAGCGAGCCCGCAGGGGGAGCAAAUCCCAAAAAUAAACGUCCCAGUUCGGACUGUAGUCUGCAACCCGACUACACGAAGCUGGAAUCGCUAGUAAUCGCGAAUCAGAAUGUCGCGGUGAAUACGUUCCCGGGUCUUGUACACACCGCCCGUCACACCAUGGGAGUCGGGAAUGCCCGAAGUCAGUGACCCAACCAUAUGGAGGGAGCUGCCGAAGGCAGGUCUGAUAACUGGGGUGAAGUCGUAACAAGGUACC
rnacentral:rRNA from 1 species